UACAGAGGGUGCGAGCGUUACUCGGAAUUACUGGGCGUAAAGCGCGCGUAGGCGGCUUUGCAAGUCGGGUGUGAAAUCCCCAGGCUUAACCUGGGAACUGCAUUCGAGACUGCAUUGCUAGAGUAUGGGAGAGGGAAGUGGAAUUUCCGGUGUAGCGGUGAGAUGCGUAGAUAUCGGAAGGAACAUCAGUGGCGAAAGCGACUUCCUGGACCAAUACUGACGCUCAUGUGCGAAAGCGUGGGGAGCAAACAGG
rnacentral:rRNA from 1 species